ACAAAACAAUGGACUACACACUAGUGUGCAAGAGUGUAACAUUACAGUGUUUGUCUCCUCUACUUUAGUCUCCUCGGGAAGAAGAGACGCUGAGACCCUGCAGAGCCAGCACUAUUGAAGUUUCACUUCUGCUUUUGACCACCCUCGGGUGACUGAAGAUUUUCCUACCAACGCAAACUCCAAUGUGUCCAACAACACAGAGGGAAACACACACAUUUAGACUGUGUGUACGAAAUGGAAAAAAAACAUUCUGCCUUUUAAGAUACAGCGGGGGAAAUAAGUAUUGAAUGCGUCAACAUUUUUUUCAUGAACAGACCUCUGAAGUUCGCAGACAAAAAGGACCCAAAAGCUGCCGUCUCUGCCCAUAUAAGGAGAUGUGGAUUUCGCAACUUCAGUGGUCUAUGGAAUCAGACUGUGAGUUGUCUGUAGGGGGUUUUAGUGUAACAGAAGUGAAACCUCCGACAUGAAAGUGGCAUGGAUAUCAUAAAGCCUUGUCAUAAAUCCUUCUGACCAAAGUCUAGAAAUGAAAGCAGUGGUUCAGGGAUCUGUAGAUCAUGAGAUGAUCAGUGGGAGACGAAAGAAGAAACACAAAUCUGCUCUCAGUUUUCGGGCCUUUUUCUCUAAUCUUUGAUUUGUGGUGAGAUAACUGAUCAUUUGAACAUUUAUAUUGGCUGCUCAACUGUCCUGAUCAAUCAAUCGAUUUGUUGUCAUGGAGCUAACAGGGCCAGGAAUAGCAUUGCUGGUUUGCCCACUUUAGGGUAGAAUGGGGCGGUAGUGUAGUGGUUAAGGAGCUGGGCUAGCAUGCAGUAAACUGAAAAGUUGUGGAUUAAAAUCUAAAUAAAUAAAUAAGAAUGAUAACCUGGAAAUCUGAAUGAAAACCUGGCAUUACUGGUUUUCUCUUCUAUCCCUUACAUUAAAGGUAUUCUAUGCAGUUUCAGGUAUUUUGGCAAUUGUAGAACUCCCCCUAGUCGCAAUAUAUUUAUAUUUUACUCUGCCAUUAUAAUAGCCUACUUCUAGUGGCUUGUUCCCCCUGUACACAAUGUCAAUGACAAUGUCGGCUGGCUCUCUUGUUAAUGACUCACUGUGGCUAUGCUGUAUGACUGGUGAACAGUUCCCCUAUUAAGUUUGUUUACUAUCAAAUUGGCUUCGUAAAGGUUACAUUAAAGAUCUCAUGCCAUUAAAAUCUAA